rnacentral:rRNA from 1 species
UGCUCUAGAUUAAGUUUGAUCCUGGCUCGGAUAACGCUGGCGGCGCACAUAAGACAUGCAGUCGAACGAACUUAACCUUUAGUUUACUAAUGGAGCGGUUAGUGGCGGACUGGUGAGUAACGCGUGAGCACCUGCCUAUCAGAGGGGAACAACAGUUAGAAAUGACUGCUAAUACCGCAUAUGCCUAAGUAACACAUGUUACAAUAGGGAAAGGAGCAAUCCGCUGAUAGAUGGGCUCGCGUCUGAUUAGAUAGUUGGUGGGGUAACGGCCUACCAAGUCGACGAUCAGUAGCCGGACUGAGAGGUUGAACGGCCACAUUGGGACUGAGAUACGGCCCAGACCCCUACGGGAGGCAGCAGUCGGGAAUAUUGCGCAAUGGAGGAAACUCUGACGCAGUGACGCCGCGUGCAGGAGAAGGUUUUCGGAUUGUAAACUGCUUAGACAGGGAGAAAAGGACAGUACUGUAGAUAGCUCCGGCUACUACGUGCAGCAGCCGCGUAUACGUAGGAGCAGCGUAUCCGGAUUAUGGGUGUAAGGUGCGUAACGGAGCAGUAGUGUGAAUCCUCGCU